rnacentral:rRNA from 1 species
ACGAACGCUGGCGGCGUGCUUAACACAUGCAAGUCGCACGGAAAGGCCCUGCUUUUGUGGGGUGCUCGAGUGGCGAACGGGUGAGUAACACGUGAGUAACCUGCCCUUGACUUUGGGAUAACUUCAGGAAACUGGGGCUAAUACCGGAUAGGAGCUCCUGCUGCAUGGUGGGGGUUGGAAAGUUUCGGCGGUUGGGGAUGGACUCGCGGCUUAUCAGCUUGUUGGUGGGGUAGUGGCUUACCAAGGCUUUGACGGGUAGCCGGCCUGAGAGGGUGACCGGCCACAUUGUGACUGAGAUACGGCCCAGACUCCUACGGGAGGCAGCAGUGGGGAAUAUUGCACAAUGGGCGGAAGCCUGAUGCAGCAACGCCGCGUGCGGGAUGACGGCCUUCGGGUUGUAAACCGCUUUCGCCUGUGACGAAGCGUGAGUGACGGUAAUGGGUAAAGAAGCACCGGCUAACUACGUG